UUGAUGUUUGGACUAGAUUUAAAGAACGAUUCUCCAAAUCUGAUCGCACUUGUGUUGCUAAGCUACAAUCUAAUAUCAAUAAACUGAAGCAAGGUUUAAAUCAUCCACUAAGAUACUUGACAAAAAAAAAUAUCUCAAAAGAAAGAUUUUUCAUCACCUUGUGCUAUUUUUGGUUUUUCAUAAAUUCCCUCCAUCAUCGAAG
rnacentral:lncRNA from 1 species